ensembl:lncRNA
GUCACUUGGCUGCGGCAGCCACUCCUUGGUCUGGGGCUGUCCUGAAGAUGAAUUCCAGUGCCCCAGAAGGAAUGACAGGGCAGCGGAGUCCUGCCAUCUCCCCCGAAAAAUGUCUACCGUGGGAUGAGAUCAACUACCAUAGCCAUCUU